GACGAACGCUGGCGGCGUGCUUAACACAUGCAAGUCGAACGAAGAGCGAUGGAAGCUUGCUUCUAUCAAUCUUAGUGGCGAACGGGUGAGUAACGCGUAAUCAACCUGCCCUUCAGAGGGGGACAACAGUUGGAAACGACUGCUAAUACCGCAUACGAUCUAACCUCGGCAUCGAGGAAAGAUGAAAGGUGGCCUCUAUGUAUAAGCUAUCACUGAAGGAGGGGAUUGCGUCUGAUUAGCUAGUUGGAGGGGUAACGGCCCACCAAGGCGAUGAUCAGUAGCCGGUCUGAGAGGAUGAACGGCCACAUUGGGACUGAGACACGGCCCAGACUCCUACGGGAGGCAGCAGUGGGGAAUCUUCCGCAAUGGACGAAAGUCUGAAGGAGCAACGCCGCGUGAGUGAUGACGGCCUUCGGGUUGUAAAGCUCUGUUAAUCGGGACGAAAGGCCUUCUUGCGAAUAGUGAGAAGGAUUGACGGUACCGGAAUAGAAAGCCACGGCUAACUACGUG
rnacentral:rRNA from 1 species